rnacentral:rRNA from 1 species
CCUGGCGGCGAGUGGCGAACGGGUGAGUAAUACAUCCGAACGUGUCCUGUAGUGGGGGAUAGCCCGGCGAAAGCCGGAUUAAUACCGCAUACGAUCUACGGAUGAAAGCGGGGGAUCGCAAGACCUCGCGCUAUAGGGGCGGCCGAUGGCGGAUUAGCUAGUUGGUGGGGUAAAGGCCCACCAAGGCGACGAUCCGUAGCUGGUCUGAGAGGACGACCAGCCACACUGGGACUGAGACACGGUCCAGACUCCUACGGGAGGCAGCAGUGGGGAAUUUUGGACAAUGGGCGCAAGCCUGAUCCAGCAAUGCCGCGUGUGUGAAGAAGGCCUUCGGGUUGUAAAGCACUUUUGUCCGGAAAGAAAUCCUCUGGGUUAAUACCCCGGGGGGAUGACGGUACCGGAAGAAUAAGCACCGGCUAACUACGUGCCAGCAGCCGCGGUAAUACGUAGGGUGCGAGCGUUAAUCGGAAUUACUGGGCGUAAAGCGUGCGCAGGCGGUGAUGUAAGACCGAUGUGAAAUCCCCGGGCUUAACCUGGGAACUGCAUUGGUGACUGCAUCGCUGGAGUAUGGCAGAGGGGGGUAGAAUCCACGUGUAGCAGUGAAAUGCGUAGAGAUGUGGAGGAAUACCGAUGGCGAAGGCAGCC